GACGAACGCUGGCGGCGUGCUUAACACAUGCAAGUCGAACGGAAAGGCCCUGCUUUUGUGGGGUGCUCGAGUGGCGAACGGGUGAGUAACACGUGAGUAACCUGCCCUUGACUUUGGGAUAACUUCAGGAAACUGGGGCUAAUACCGGAUAGGAGCUCCUGCUGCAUGGUGGGGGUUGGAAAGUUUCGGCGGUUGGGGUUGGACUCGCGGCUUAUCAGCUUGUUGGUGGGGUAGUGGCUUACCAAGGCUUUGACGGGUAGCCGGCCUGAGAGGGUGGCCGGCCACAAUGGGACUGAGAUACGGCCCAGAAUCCUACGGGAGGCAGCAGUGGGGAAUAUUGCACAAUGGGCGGAAGCCUGAUGCAGCAACGCCGCGUGCGGGAUGACGGCCUUCGGGUUGUAAACCGCUUUCGCCUGUGACGAAGCGUGAGUGACGGUAAUGGGUAAAGAAGCACCGGCUAACUACGUG
rnacentral:rRNA from 1 species